GACGAACGCUGGCGGCGUGCUUAACACAUGCAAGUCGAACGGGCCCGCCCCUGUUUUUGGGGGUGGGUUGAGUGGCGAACGGGUGAGUAUCACGUGAGUAACCUGCCCCCUGCUCCUGGAUAACUGCUUGAAAGGGCGGCUAAUACGGGGUGUGCCGGCUGGUCCGCAUGGGCCUGGUCGGGAUAGUUUCAUCUUCGGGUGUUUCGGUGGGGGAUGGGCUCGCGGCCUAUCAGCUUGUUGGUGGGGUGAUGGCCCACCAAGGCGGUGACGGGUAGCCGGCCUGAGAGGGUGGGCGGCCACACUGGGACUGAGACACGGCCCAGACGCCGGCGGGAGGCAGCAGUGGGGGUUAUUGCACAAUGGGCGGAAGCCUGAUGCAGCGACGUCGCGUGAGGGAUGGAGGCCGUCGGGUUGUGAACCUCUUUCUCCGGGGGGGAAGGCCCUGUCCGUUGCGGCGGGGUUGACGGUAGCCGGGUAUGAAGCGCCGGCUAACUACGUG
rnacentral:rRNA from 1 species